GCAGUCGUGGCCGAGUGGUUAAGGCGAUAGACUAGAAAUCCAUUGGGGUCUCCCCGCACAGGUUCGAAUCCUGUCGACUGCG
rfam:Ixodes scapularis strain Wikel colony gcontig_1108379127578, whole genome shotgun sequence.